rnacentral:tRNA from 1 species
GCCGAGGUAGCCCAGCGGUUAAGGCGCCGGUCUUGAAAACCGGUUGUGCUACGCACAUCGGGAGUUCAAGUCUCCCCCUCGGCG